rnacentral:rRNA from 1 species
UACGAAGGGGGCUAGCGUUGUUCGGAAUUACUGGGCGUAAAGGGCGCGUAGGCGGUGCAUCAAGUCAGGCGUGAAAGCCCCGGGCUCAACCUGGGAACCGCGCUUGAGACUGGUGCGCUCGAGUUCGGGAGAGGAUGGUGGAAUUCCCAGUGUAGAGGUGAAAUUCGUAGAUAUUGGGAAGAACACCGAUGGCGAAGGCAGCCAUCUGGACCGACACUGACGCUGAGGCGCGAAAGCCAGGGGAGCAAACGGG